CCUACGGGGGGCUGCAGUGGGGAAUAUUGGACAAUGGGUGAAAGCCUGAUCCAGCCAUGCCGCGUGUGUGAAGAAGGCCUUCGGGUUGUAAAGCACUUUCAGUGGGGAAGAAAGCCUUGGGGCUAAUACCCUCGAGGAAGGACAUCACCCACAGAAGAAGCACCGGCUAACUCCGUGCCAGCAGCCGCGGUAAUACGGAGGGUGCGAGCGUUAAUCGGAAUUACUGGGCGUAAAGCGCGCGUAGGCGGUCUGAUAAGCCGGUUGUGAAAGCCCCGGGCUCAACCUGGGAACGGCAUCCGGAACUGUCAGGCUAGAGUGCAGGAGAGGAAGGUAGAAUUCCCGGUGUAGCGGUGAAAUGCGUAGAGAUCGGGAGGAAUACCAGUGGCGAAGGCGGCCUUCUGGACUGACACUGACGCUGAGGUGCGAAAGCGUGGGUAGCAAACAGGAUUAGAUACCCUAGUAGUC
rnacentral:rRNA from 1 species